rnacentral:tRNA from 1 species
AGUGGCCUAGUGGUCUGACGUCCGCCUGGCAACCCAGGGAUCGCGGGUUCGAGUCCGGGU